AAAAGGGGCUGCUGGAGGAAAAACAAAUUAGUUUUCAAAUCACUGGGUCUAAGUUCUUCCCAGCAGCUUUCAGAUGCUGCCAGCUCAGACACAAAGAGGAACAGCUGUGAACCAACAAGACUGAGGAUCAGAGACGAGUCCACCGGCUGCUGCAACAUCUCUGGGUUUUCACUGAGAAACUUCUCAUGAGUGAGACACAGGUAGACAAAUGGAAGUCUCUGUGUUGGGACAGGAGCCUCCGAGUGCAUUAGUAGCACUGAAAUGACAUAAUGGAGUUCAGGUGCAGCAUCUUGAUGAGCUCUGUGCAAUGGUCUCGGUGCUCCCAUCUGUAUCGGCAGGGAGCAGGAACUCUUUCUUCAGAUUUAUGUCAGGAAAAGCACUGUCUUAGCCUUCAGUGGAGCCUCUUUGGAGAGGCUUUUAACCCGUGGCUUGGGAGGUGCGUUAAAACCACCAUCUGUAUGUGCUUUACCUCAGGCUGCACAAAACCUUCUGACUUGUGAUCAUGACAAUUAUGAGCCAGUCCUGCAUUUGGAAAACAGUCAGAAGUCCAGCUAUUAAAUGACGUCCCCAAAAAUCUAUUAAAUGUUUCAAGAGUUUUGAGAAAAAUAAGAAGCACCACCACUUCCUACCUAGAUGGAGUGAGAAUCGAGCAUGACUUUGACCAGCAAUGAGAUGGUGAACAUUUCACAGAGAUGACCUUGCUUUGCCAUUGUCUUGAAUGGAAGGAGCCGGAUGAGCCGCCUUGAGGUCAGGCAGGGUGGCAUGCAUUUGGCUGCCAUUUGCCCAUUCAGAGCUCUCCUGCCUGUACGGGUGCAAGCUACCAUCAGUGCAACCAUGCAAUAAUUAGAGAAUUACUGGAUGCAUUUUUGUGGUUGUGACUCGGGAAUGGCAUCAUGCUGGCAUUGUGCCUGAACACUAUGCACUAUUGCUGACACCAGUGCUUGAAUAAAAAGGUUUGCCAUUCCUGCUGCUGAACAUGGGAAGCUUUCCUCCUGCUGUGGGUGACAAAGUAUCAACCUGUACCUUCAUCUUCUGAGCAAACCACUACAAAGCAAAGGGUUUCUCUGUAGUCACUGGACUCGGAACACAUGCAGAGGUGCUGCUAGUGCCAAAGAGACCAUACUGCCAGUCUCCAUGUCACAUCCUCCCAGCAAGCUCAGCCUCCUGCCUUGAGGAGCGACUCAUCAAGGAACCUGUUUGUCCUUUCUUUUGCUCUUGUUGCCCAUGGGAGGCGAUGGUAAUGCCAUUCGUAUUCUGCAUACUGGAAGGUACUGCCACAGAACAGACCAAGCCUGUUUUCUGAGCUUUUCUACCUGCUGAGAUGAAGAAGGGACAGAAUUUCUGCUCUUUCGGGCAGGUUAGGUAUCACUGAGAAAUACAGUGUGCAAGAGCUAACUAUUAUACUCUGCUACCUCACUAAGUUGAGUUUGCCAGGUGCCAAACACCGCUGGAAACCUCCCAGUUCUGUGGAAACUGACAGAGUCUGCAUGCUCCUGACUCUAUUGCAUAUCACAGAAUCAGAACCUUGAGAAAUUGCAGACUCUUAGCACAAAGGCUCCUUGGGACUGUGAAACAUACCACUGAGAAAUGUGAAACAUACCCUUGAGAAAUAUGAAACAGAAAUAAGGACUAGUCAGUGUUAGAGACUGCUGAUUCUGUAAGAGCAUGAUACACAUCACCCCACGAGCUGAAUCAAUGCCGCUGUACCUUGCUCCAUGUCCUUACAGUGCGGCUUUCCUGAGUGAGUCACUAGGAUUGUGAUCCCUGGUUUACAUGCUUCCGAGACCUUGUGCAAUGUUGUCAGGACUGUUAUGCAGUUGGCAGUUGCUUUAUGUGUUUAUUGCAAGAGGUUUAUGAAAAUAAAAUAGUUGUUUUGGACAAAAUAAAUGACAUACAUGCCAGGUUUACUGCUGUAACACAGUAGGUUUGUAGAAGACAGUGGCAUGGGGAAGGGAAGAUUGAACCAGGCACUGGCAUGGUAGCCAGACCUUCAUUCAUUUGUAAUUGCUUUUUGUGCUGUUAUUUCAACCCAUUCUUUUGGUUGUCUACCUGCAAGUGGUAAAGAAAGAGACGACACUGUCAUUGUGCACAUGAACUGAUGUGGUUUUACUGCAUUUGGCCACACACCGAAAUGGGAUAUGCUGGUACAGAGUGCAGCCACAGGUCUCAUCUCUGCUGCUGCUCCCUUCACAAAAGAAUAAUCUCCACAUAAACAGUUUUCCUACCUUGGCUUGAUAAGGUUGCAAUCCUACCUUUUGCUGUUGGUCAGAAUGCAGAGAUUAAAAACACUCAGUUGAUGCAAACGGUGGGCUGAUACAACACACAGAUGGGGUGUAGAUGUGCUUCACACAACAGAGAGCAGAACUGAAGGGGAACAUGUCGCCUGGAGGCAAGACGCCUCUUUAAUUGAUAAUGGCAAGGAAAAUCAAAUACCAUAUUUGCUUUUUCCUGGAGUAUAUUGAGACUGAUCAUAACUAACAUCUGUUCAUGUUAAGCAAAUACUUGUCAUGAUUUAAACUUCUGUUUGCAUACAACUCCGAGUAGUGCAUCUUAAAGUCAUACAUAUUCAUAUAGAAUGAAGAAUGCAUAAUGUCUGCAUAAAAAGAUAAGCUGUAUGACUAUAUAUGAAGACAACAACUACAAUUCUCACAGCACUGUCAUUGGUUAAUUUUAAAAUAUUCAAGCAUUAUUUAAAAAACAGUAAGCUGAACUUAAAACUACACUACGAAAAAUUGUAUAACUGAAACAAUGCUGACUGGAUUUCCUCACUAUUAAUCAACUUUUUUUUUCUUUUUUUCUUUUUCUAACACUUCUGUUAAUUAGUUGUUGUUUUAACCUCCAGUAACAUGAUCAGAUUUCUUCUGCCUCUGGGCAAUUGAGUUAUGCUCUGAUCUCGAGUUCUAAGGGAAAUGUUCAAUUUUGUUUUUUUCCACAGUUGAAUAAACAGUACCAUGUAUACUA